UCAAGUCAGGGAAGUUGGGAGUACUCAAAAUCUCACUUAUGUGAGCCUACGGUAAACUCAAUGACAAGGACUAAGUCGUAACAAGGCACGGGUAGCGGAAGCUGCUCGUGGAGUAAUUCAAUU
rnacentral:rRNA from 1 species